rnacentral:rRNA from 1 species
CCCUUAGAUGUCCUGGGCCGCACGCGCGCUACACUGAUGAAUUCAACGAGUUUCACCUUGGCCGAGAGGCCUGGGCAAUCUUUUAAACCUGCAUCGUGAUAGGGAUAGAUUAUUGCAAUUAUUAAUCUUGAACGAGGAAUUCCUAGUAAACGCAAAUCAUCAAUUUGCAUUGAUUACGUCCCUGCCCUUUGUACACACCGCCCGUCGCACCUACCGAUUGAAUGGUCCGGUGAAGCCUCGGGAUUGUGGCCAGUUCACUUUAUUGGGAGUUGGCUGUGAGAACUUGUCUAAACCUUAUCAUUUAGAGGAAGGUGAAGUCGUAACA